rnacentral:pre_miRNA from 1 species
AUUCUACUCCCUCCGUUGCACAAUACAUGCCUUCUAUUUGUCAAAAUAUAUAUGUAUCUAGACAUGUUUUAGUAUAUAGGUACAUCCAUGGACAAAUGGAAGUCAAGUAUUUUGGAAUGGAGGGAGUACAUA